CGCAUCGGUGGUUGGCUGGCCUGGCCGAGCGCGAAGCCUCUCGGGAGUUGUAGUUUUUGUGGCCCUGCUGCGGACACCAGGAAGGGUUAUUGUGGUUGGAAACUGCAAGAAGCAAUUGCGCUCGUUCGCGACAGCUGGCACCAUGUCCCGCCUGUCGGUGCCCUGUCACGUGAAAGGCGCCGUAGCCCUGCAGGUGGGCGACGUGCGGACUUUCCAAGGCCGGCCUGGCGUGCUGGUCAUCGAUGUCACCUUCCCUAACGUGGAGCCUUUCGAGUUGCAGGAGAUCACAUUUAAGAAUUACUACACAGCCUUUUUGACCAUCCGUGUCCGUCAGCACACCACUGCGCACACACCAGCUAAGUGGGUGACCUGCCUGCGGGACUACUGUCUGAUGCCUGACCCACACAGUGAGGAUGGAGCCCAGGAAUAUGUAUCGCUAUUCAAGCACCAGAUGCUGUGUGACAUGGCCAGAGUCCUGGAGCUGCGUCUUAUUCUGCGGCAGCCGUCACCCCUGUGGCUAUCUUUCACAGUGGAGGAGCUGCAAAUCUACCAGCAGGGACCAAAGAGCCCGUCUGUGACCUUUCCCAAGUGGCUGUCCCACCCAGUGCCCUGUGAGCAGCCUACCCUUCUCCUUGAGAGUUCUAAGGGCCGUACUGGGGAGAGACCCAUGGCCAUUGACCCCUCCCUCUGGAGCAGGGUCUCCCAGACCCCAGCAGGGUAUCCUCCGAAGUACAGCAGAUGUGGGCGCUGACGGAGAUGAUCCGGGCCAGUCACACCUCCACGAGGAUCGGCCGCUUUGACGUUGAUGGCUGUUAUGACCUGAACUUGCUCUCCUACACUUGAGCAGCGGCUUCUAGCUGAGCUUUUGGCCUUUCCGUGCCCACCAGGCUUAGUUGGGGCCACCAGCGACAGAAGCGUUCCCGGUGCAUUCUCAGUGUGGUCUGCGUGCUCAUCCUGCUGGGCCACGUCCGCAGAUUCAAGAUUCUUGGGACUUACUAUGUGGCUUCAGGAUGAGCUCCUGGCAAGGGUGCAUUCUUCUUCUUUCACCUGGCAGCAGCACAAGUCCUUCUCCCCUAAACACACUCCGGCUCUUUCUACCGAGAAUCCCUGAGUGCCCUCUGCCCAUCCUGCCCACAUGCACAGCCCCGUCUUCUGUGGCCACCCGCCCCGAAGUGCAGUGAACCAGUUCCGUCUGACCCUGGAAGGCCACUGCUACCUUGGCACUGAGACUGGAAAGCUUGAGGCAGAAAGAGAGGCCCCUGUCCACCCUCUGCACCCUGUCGUGGCCUUCUUUCUCUUUGUACUAUGUCCACAAAAAUAAUUUCUUUUUUAAAACUGUUA